GAGCAAUGAUGAAAAGGUUUUACUACUGACCUAACUAUGAAGGUUUCUACACUUGACCUGAGCUCA
ensembl:snoRNA